rnacentral:rRNA from 1 species
AACGAACGCUGGCGGCAGGCUUAACACAUGCAAGUCGAGCGCCCCGCAAGGGGAGCGGCAGACGGGUGAGUAACGCGUGGGAACCUACCCAAAGGUGCGGAAUAACUCAGGGAAACUUGAGCUAAUACCGCAUGUGCCCUUCGGGGGAAAGAUUUAUCGCCUUUGGAUGGGCCCGCGUCGGAUUAGCUAGUUGGUGGGGUAAUGGCCUACCAAGGCGACGAUCCGUAGCUGGUCUGAGAGGAUGACCAGCCACACUGGGACUGAGACACGGCCCAGACUCCUACGGGAGGCAGCAGUGGGGAAUCUUCGGCAAUGGGCGAAAGCCUGACCGAGCCAUGCCGCGUGAGUGAAGAAGGCCUUAGGGUUGUAAAGCUCUUUCAGCGGGGACGAUAAUGACGGUACCCGCAGAAGAAGCCCCGGCUAACUUCGUGCCAGCAGCCGCAGUAAAAC